GAUGAACGCUGGCGGCGUGCUUAACACAUGCAAGUCGAGCGAAGCACUUAAGUUCGAUUCUUCGGAUGAAGACUUUUGUGACUGAGCGGCGGACGGGUGAGUAACGCGUGGGUAACCUGCCUCAUACAGGGGGAGAACAGUUAGAAAUGGCUGCUAAUACCGCAUAAGACCACAGGACUGCAUGGUACAGUGGUAAAAACUCCGGUGGUAUGAGAUGGACCCGCGGCUGAUUAGGGAGUGGGUGAGGUAACGGCCCACCAAGCCGACGCUCAGUAGCCGACCUGAGAGGGUGACCGGCCACAUUGGGACUGAGACACGGCCCAGACUCCUACGGGAGGCAGCAGUGGGGAAUAUUGCACAAUGGGCGAAAGCCUGAUGCAGCGACGCCGCGUGAAGGAUGAAGUAUUUCGGUAUGUAAACUUCUAUCAGCAGGGAAGAAAAUGACGGUACCUGACUAAGAAGCCCCGGCUAACUACGUGCCAGCAGCCGCCGUAA
rnacentral:rRNA from 1 species